UACGGGGGGGGCCCGCUUUUUUCUUCCUUACUUUUCUUAAAUUUCUCGUAGGCGGCCAACUAAGUCAGACGUGAAAUCCCUCGGCUUAACCGGGGAACUGCGUCUGAUACUGGAUGGCUUGAGGUUGGGAGAGGGAUGCGGAAUUCCAGGUGUAGCGGUGAAAUGCGUAGAUAUCUGGAGGAACACCGGUGGCGAAGGCGGCAUCCUGGACCAAUUCUGACGCUGAGUGAGCGAAAGCCAGGGGAGCAAACGGG
rnacentral:rRNA from 1 species